UUUUCCUACGGGAGGCAGCAGUGGGGGAUAUUGCACAAUGGGGGAAACCCUGAUGCAGCGACGCCGCGUGAGUGAAGAAGUAUUUCGGUAUGUAAAGCUCUAUCAGCAGGGAAGAAGAUGACAGUACCUGAGUAAGAAGCCCCGGCUAACUACGUGCCAGCAGCCGCGGUAAUACGUAGGGGGCAAGCGUUAUCCGGAUUUACUGGGUGUAAAGGGAGCGUAGACGGUUGUAUAAGUCUGGAGUGAAAGCCCGGGGCCCAACCCCGGGACUGCUUUGGAAACUGUGUAACUUGAGUACAGGAGGG
rnacentral:rRNA from 1 species